AUUGAACGCUGGCGGCAGGCCUAACACAUGCAAGUCGAACGUGAGGGGGACGGGUGAGUAUUGUAUGGGGACUGCCCCAUUGCGGGGGAUAACUACUGUUAACGGUAGAUAAUACUGCCUACUCUCUUAUAUCCCAUAUGGGAUUAGCUAGUAGGUGAGGUAAUGGCUCACCUAGGCGACGAUCCAUCGCUGGUCUGAGAGGAUGAUCGGCAACACGGGGACGGGGACACGGCCCGGACUCCUACGGAGGCAGCAGUGGGGAAUAUUCGACAAUGGGCGCAAUCCGGAUGCGGCCAGGCCGCGUGUAGGAGGAAGGCCCUAGGGUUGUAAAGUACUUUCAGUCGGGAGGCGUUACCGACAGAGGAAGCAACGGCUAACUCCGUGCCAGCAGCCGCGGUAAUUC
rnacentral:rRNA from 1 species